rnacentral:lncRNA from 1 species
GUUUGAUAGAACUGGUGUUCUUUAACCGUUCUUAAGAAAGGUUGCGCACAAGUUGAUUCAGUCUGUCACUGCUGCUUCAGUGUCUUGAUAUACUUUAUAUGCAGUGUCAUUAAGUCUCACUAACAUUUCCAUCCAUUAAACUCUGUGCACGCUUUUACAAUUAUCUAACUAGUCUUACCAAUCUUCCUUUAUUUCACCUGUAAAUAGAUCUGACAUAAUCACCUGCUUCUUAAUCCCAACG